UACCCAUGGUGGGGGUAGGCAUUACGCAAAUCCUUGAACCUCUCCCAACAUUGAUAAAAAGUUUCAGUUUCUUUCUAUACAAAAUUCAUGAUUUGUCAUUUUAAUGCA